UCUUUUCACUAUAGGUUGUCGAAAUCGAAGCGUUUUGGCGCGUUUUUGGUCUACUCAUCUACUCUAGUCUCUAUAAGUGUUUCAGUCGAAAAGGAUGCAUCAUGCACCACAUUUCGCAUAUCUGUAGGUGGAAAGUUCCAGUUCCAGUUCUCUUUACAGUUCUUCAGUCAUUUAUUAGUUUUUAAAUAACAUGAAUAUUUGAUCUUCUCCUAUCAAGAAAAGGGAAUGUUUGCAAUUGACAAUGUGUGAAGAAUGAUGAUAAUGAUGCUACAGAGUAAUAUCGAAUAAUGAGAUGAGCAAAAAAGUGGAAGCAUACAUUUAUAGUUGAAUCAUGUAUAUAUUCAUAAUGCAUAUCCCAGCAACAACAAAAAAUUGUAUUGCUAAAAGAAAACUCAGGACACAUUGGAUCAAAUGGGGAAUAAAACUUUUAAAGAAAUGUUCAAACACCGGAUCCUGGAGGAAAAUCUGAAUGCUACAAAAAUUGAGAUUGAAUUGAGGUACAGUAACAUAAACCAGUAUGUUGCUCAAAAAAUUGCUACUUCAAACAGGAAGAGAUUAAAGUUUUCUGGAGCACCACAAUAAGGACA